rnacentral:rRNA from 1 species
GACGAACGCUGGCGGCGUGCCUAAUACAUGCAAGUUGAGCGAUGAAGAUUGGUGCUUGCACCAAUUUGAAGAGCAGCGAACGGGUGAGUAACGCGUGGGGAAUCUGCCUUUGAGCGGGGGACAACAUUUGGAAACGAAUGCUAAUACCGCAUAACAACUUUAAACAUAAGUUUUAAGUUUGAAAGAUGCAAUUGCAUCACUCAAAGAUGAUCCCGCGUUGUAUUAGCUAGUUGGCGAGGUAAAGGCUCACCAAGGCGAUGAUACAUAGCCGACCUGAGAGGGUGAUCGGCCACAUUGGGACUGAGACACGGCCCAAACUCCUACGGGAGGCAGCAGUAGGGAAUCUUCGGCAAUGGACGAAAGUCUGACCGAGCAACGCCGCGGGAGUGAAGAAGGUUUUCGGAUCGUAAAACUCUGUUGGUAGAGAAGAACGUUGGUGAGAGUGGAAAGCUCAUCAAGUGACGGUAACUACCCAGAAAGGGACGGCUAACUACGUG